rnacentral:rRNA from 1 species
GGGGAAUUUUACGCAAUGGGGGAAACCCUGACGUAGCGACACCGCGUGAGCGAAGAAGCCUUUUGGGGUGUAAAGCUCUGUCAGCUGGAACGAACACAAUGACGGUACCAGCAGAGGAAGCAUCGGCUAACUACGUGCCAGCAGCCGCGGUAAGACGUAGGAUGCAAGCGUUGUCCGGAUUCAUUGGGCGUAAAGAGUUCGUAGGUGGUCUGUUAAGUUUGGUGUUAAAGAGCGGGGCCCAACCCCGAUAGUGCACUGAAUACUGGCAGACUCGAGUGCGGUAGAGGUAAGUGGAAUUCCAAGUGUAGCGGUGAAAUGCAUAGAUAUUUGGAAGAACACCGGUGGCGUAAGCGACUUACUGGGCCGUAACUGACACUGAGGAACGAAAGCCGGGGUAGCGAAUG